UACGAAGGGGGCUAGCGUUGCUCGGAAUGACUGGGCGUAAAGGGCGCGUAGGCGGAUGGCACAGUCAGAUGUGAAAUUCCUGGGCUUAACCUGGGGGCUGCAUUUGAUACGUGUGAUCUAGAGUGAGGAAGAGGGCUGUGGAAUUCCCAGUGUAGAGGUGAAAUUCGUAGAUAUUGGGAAGAACACCGGUGGCGAAGGCGGCGACCUGGUCCUUAACUGACGCUGAGGCGCGAAAGCGUGGGGAGCAAACGGG
rnacentral:rRNA from 1 species